CUACAAGAGGGCAGGCGAGAAAGCUACAACUCCGCCCACUGGUAGUCAUUCAAUUGAUUUACUCGCCCGGUGUUCAUAGACGAGGCAUGCGUUAAACUCAGAGGACUGACCCUGGAAUAUUUAUUGAGAUAAUUAUGUUAAACUGAUACACACUUCAAUGUAGCAUAAACCCGCGAAGUGGAAUUUAACAGAAUAACUCUGGGUCGAAUGUUUUUACCUUUGUUGUGGCAGGACACAUUUCCUUUUGUCCUCGGUAGUAUUUAACAACCUUUGGCGGUCACCCACCUCAACACGUUUGACACAGGCAGCAGUCCAUUUGUUGAGUGGUGUGAGGGCAGUUGGUCGGAGGACUUCGUCAAAUUUUCCUACAACUUCACUUGGGAGAAAAAGGCUGAAAUAAUUGAUAGAGGCAGGCUCCCAGGUCAAUGGGAUGUUAGUGGUCUGGAGGCGUGCCAGGACUGAAGGAGCAUGGUGAAGCACCAACCCCUGCAGGUCUAUGAGAGGCAGCUGUGUUUGUCAUGUCUCACAGGGAUCUAUGGAUGCCGCUGGAAACGGUACCAGCGCUCACAUGAUGACACCACCAAGUGGGAGUUCCUGUGGUCUCUCAUCCUCUUCUUCACCUUCUCUCUGCUCCUGGUCUGGUUCUACUUCUGGUGGGAGGCACACAAUGACUACAAUGAGUUCAACUGGUUUUUAUAUAACCGUUCUGGAGAGUGGAUCGACGGGACUGUUCCAAUCCUGGCCACUACCGCUGCCGGCUUCACUUAUAUUGCAUUUUUAAUGAUUUUAGCACUUUGCCACAUAGCAGUGGGACAACAGCUGAACUUGCACUGGCUGCACAAGAUAGGGGUCAGUACUGCCCUGCUGACCACUGCCAUCGGAUUCAUAUCUGUCAAUCAAACAUGGGGGGAGGAGUGGGCAGUCAUCCCUAUAUCACUCCAGGCCACAGGUCCCUUCCUACACCUAGGAGCCCUGGUGGCUGUCACCGCUCUGGCCUGGCUGGUGGCUGGGCAGGUCGCCCGCUCCGAGAAAACAAUGUUUCAGGUGGUGGUUCUCCUGCUCUACCUAAGUGUUCUACUGGGCCUCUACAUGGCCCCCCUUUCCAUCACCUCCCCCUGCAUCAUGGAACACGCCAACCUCACACCACGCCCUGACAUCAUUGGCCACCAGGGCGCACCCAUGCUGGCUCCAGAGAACACCAUCCUGUCCUUCCAGAGGGCUCUGCAGAUGAACGUCAGUGGUCUGGAGGCUGACGUGGCCAUCAGCCUUGACGGGGUGCCGUUUCUGAUGCGAGACCGCACCUUGAGGAGGACUACAGACGUCGAGAAGGUGUUUCCUGCCAGACAGCAGGACGAUGCCUCCUCCUUUAACUGGACAGACUUACACAGCCUCAAUGCCGGCCAGUGGUUCCUCAAGGAAGACCCAUUCUGGACGGUCCAGUCCAUGGCUCAGAGGGAGGUGAUGCUGGUGGGGAACCAGAGUGUGUGUAGUCUGGAGCAGCUGCUGAGGCUUGCCACCAUCCAUAACCACACAGUGGUGUUUGACCUGCGCCGACCCCCGCACGGACACCCCUGCUACCACAGCUGGAUAAACGAUACCCUGGGGGUCAUACUCCUGUCUGGGAUUCCACAGCACCUGGUCGCUUUCGCUCUCGUGCUCUCUCCCUCUUUCUCUCUCUCUGUGUCGGUCUCUCUCGCUCUCUCUCGCUUUCUCUUUCUCUUUUUGUCACGCUCUCUCUGUCAUGCUCUCACUCGCUCUGUGUGUGUCUCUGUCUGUAUGUGUGUGUGUUGGCAGGUGAUGUGGACCCCAGACUUGGACAGGGAGCAGGUAAGACAGGUGGCUCCAGGGCUGCAGCAGACGUCAGUAGAGAAGCUGCCUCCUCAGGUCCUUCACCAGCAGGGAAUCAGCAGACUACUGUUACGUUACAGCCAGGCCAGCCCAGAUGACAUCCGAGAGUUCUCCAGGAGCAAUGUGAGUGUGACUCUGUACACGGUCAACGAGCCCUGGCUGUUCUCUGUACUCUGGUGCAGCGGGGUCUCCUCUGUCUCCUCUGAAGCCCCCAACAUCCUCAGAAAGGUGCCUUACCCCAUCUGGCUCAUGAGUCCGGAUGAAUACUGUCUGAUCUGGGUCGCUGCUGAUCUCAUCUCCUUCACUGUAGUUAUAGGAAUUUUUGUUUUCCAAAACUAUCACAUAAUCAGGUGGAGGUUGAGUGGCAUGCACAGCUACAACCCUGAACAGAUCAUGCUGAGUGCCGCGGUCCGGAGGUCCAGCAGAGACCUCAACAUCAUGAAGGAGAAACUCAUCUUCUCUGGUCAACCGCAGUAGCAGUCUCAACCUGUGUGUGUGACCUGCACUCCUCUCCACCUCCACUCCCUUCAUCCUGCCAUCUCUCCAUCCUCCUCUGCCUGCUGUGACCAUUCGUUCGACCAUUCCAUCCCUCCCUUCCCCUCUCUCUCUGCCUGCCCCGCCUUUCCCCCUCUCCUCCCCAAUCACCCACCAGAGACCUGUGUCAUUUAAAAGGGUGCCUAGACAGCCCACUGAGACACACCAGCCUCUCCUGGUGGGUGGUGAAAGAGGUGAGCAAUGGUGUGGGCAGUGCUGAGGACCUGUACAUGGAGAAUGGCUUCGACUACUACAACAACGAAGGCAUCUCCCAUUGACUCUUACUCACCGAAUGUGAAUCUACUCACCUAAUGUGACACCCGACUCUACUAGCAUGUGGAAACUGAGUAAAUUAAGACUUCCAAGUGACUGUCUUGUGAUUGGGCUUAUCUAUUGUUAUGAUUACUCUUGUUUUACUCAGUGUAUCCAGAUAGUUAUUGGUUUGUUCCUCUACUGACUGAUUGACAGGCUGCUGUAUUGCUGAAGAAUCCAAGGCAAGCACCACCCAUUGCUUUGUACAUUCUGUAAAUAGGUUUGUUUUUGCUUGUUAUAUACAAUGUGGGACUAAAUGCACUUUUUAUUGAACUGAUUGAUUCGUCAGAUCUGAUCUAUGGCCUCUUCUCCUCACCUCUGUGGGCAAACUUGUUGGCUCGAGUUCCACAUCAGGAUUUCAACAUUCAGUGGAGAGUCAUGAAUUUUAUUUAUAUUUUUUACCAAUUUGUUGGCCAGAAAAAGGGCAAUUAAAAAAUAUUGGUCAAUUUAUAUAUAUAUUUACUUAAACCUCCCGUGUGCUGGGAUUGAAUGGGUUCAUGGGCCGGAUCUGGCCCUCUGCCGUAGUUUUUCCCACCCCUGCUCUUGAUGCUUGGAGGCCCCCCCCCCAGUUAUCAAUGCUUAUGUUUGUUUCUACACUGUUAUUUGGAUUUCUUGCAGUCACUUUAUAGCACAGCCAAUUCUUAUUAUUUACAGGAAUUACUAUUUGUGCAGCAUGCUCCUUUUUCUUGCCUUUGGGCGCUAUUCUAAUUUAUAGGAACAAAAAGAACAUGAACAAGCUGUUUACAGAAGUCCUGCCUUCUCCGACUGAAAUAGUUACACGAUGUAAGAUAAUGAUUUGAACAGCAUUUCCAAGCAUAUGAUCUACAAUAUUAAGUGACUUUGUGGAGCUGUGCUGUCUCGGGCCGGGCUUGUGUUCAGGCACAACUAAUGUUUACUCAGUGUUUUCGGGUUCAUUGUGAAUGUGUUUUGAUUUUUAAAGGAUGUGUACAGUGCAUGUAUUUAGAGAUUUCACCCCUACCCUCAGUGUGCAGUCCUACAUAGUGUGCACAUAUUACAGAUGUUUUAGGUGCUAUGGCUGGCUGAGCAUUAUAUUGGAAAUGUCAUCCUGAUUAUGUAUAGCUAUAGUGUUGAGUUUAUGAAAGUAAUUGAAAUACUUUGCUGGCCCAACUUCUCAAUGGCAUUUGAACUUGUGGUGUUUGAAAAGCAAAGUGCAUCAAAUCAAUUGGUUUCUAUAGGGGGACAUGAAAGGGUGUAUGUGAUGAGAUGAAGUGGGGUGUGUUAUAUUAACUGUGAAAAUAAACCUGGAGGCUGUUGAAGGGACAACGCUGAGUAUCAUUAUAGUUCAAACCGGGUCAAGGAAUGGAUAGACUUGUGUUCAUUUACUCCUUUGGUAUUUAUGUGCCUCAGAAGUCAAUAAUUAAAAUGUUUCUGAUACCGAA